rnacentral:rRNA from 1 species
AGAAAAGCAUCGGCGCGAGGUUCAAACUGCCCGUACCCUAAACCGACACAGGUGGUCAGGUAGAGAAUACUAAGGCGAUCGAGAGAAUCAUGGUUAAGGAACUCGGCAAAAUGCCCCCGUAACUUCGGGAGAAGGGGGGCCCCAACCUUGAGCACCACGUGCUGGUGUGAGGGGAUCGGGGCCGCAGAGACCAGGGGGAAGCGACUGUUUAUCAAAAACACAGGUCCAUGCGAAGUCGUAAGACGAUGUAUAUGGACUGACUCCUGCCCGGUGCUGGAAGGUUAAGGGGACCUGUUAGCUUCGGCGAAGCGGAGAACUUAAGCCCCAGUAAACGGCGGUGGUAACUAUAACCAUCCUAAGGUAGCGAAAUUCCUUGUCGGGUAAGUUCCGACCUGCACGAAUGGAGUAACGACUUCCCCGCUGUCUCAACCAUGAACUCGGCGAAAUUGCAUUACGAGUAAAGAUGCUCGUUACGCGCAGAAGGACGGAAAGACCCCGUGACCUUUACUAUAGUUUGGUAUUGGU